GCGUCAUUGUUGUUUGACAUUUCCUGUUGCAUGGUAGGAAUCUGCUGCCCAGGGACCCUGAAAGCUGUGUCUAUGAAGUUAUUACAAGAUAUUGGCUACUGUGGUGCAUGGAGCUUCUAGGCCAGGGUGAUUCUCACACCUGCCUGAUGUGGAUCUUGUUGCUUCACACCUGAAACAUCAUUUGAGAAGCCCGGGAAGUGGUGUGGCUGCUGCAUGGCUGCUCCAAGAACUACUCCCAUGGGAGAGGAGCUCCCAACAGUGCCUUGCCAUCAAGCUUUGAUUUCUACCUUACAUACCUCUGAAUAAACUGUUGCCAAUGAGGCUGAUGGAAGUCUUGUGAGUUUGAAUGCCAGGUUGAACUUAAGAGGAUUCCCUGGUGAGCAUUGCAAGAUGGUAUACUCAAUGUUAUUAAUUUGUGGGGAGUUUAAUAAAAGUAUUGUUUAUAUUGAUGUGGGAAGGGUAUAGGGAAAUUACAAGGUAUGGUGCAGUGUCCCAAGAAUAGUAACAUGGGGCACUGAAAAGAUAGAGAAAGGAAAAGAAUGAGUGACCAGAACCUGGUGACAGAGCCACAGGGGAGGGCUGUCUGGCUGGAGCUGUGACUUACCAUUGAAGGACUCAGGAAGUUCUUUUUUUUCUUUAGACAGGGUCUCGCUCCGUCAUCUAGGCUGUCAUGCAGUGGUGUGAUCAUGACUCACUGCACCCUCAGCACACACCACCAUACUGGGCUAAUUUCUGUAUUUUUAUAGACAGGUUCUCACCAGGUUGCCCAGUCUGAUCUCAAAAUCCUGGGCUCAAGCAAUCUUCCUGCCUUGGCCUCCCAAAGUGCUGGGAUUAUAGGCAUAAGCCACUGCACCCAGCCCUCAGGCAGUUUUUAUUAAUUCUGCAGGAAGGGAGCUGGGAGAAUAAAAAUCCCGACCUCAUUUUCUUUCCUUCUUUUGUUCUCUUGCUUGAGCUUCCCAUGGAUGAACUGGAAGAAUUCAGAAAUUGAAUGAUAUAAAUAACAAAGUUAAAUUAAUAGACAUGUAUUGAACUUAGUUUUUAGAGUAUGUAUAAUUUUCCCAAUUUUCUGUGGAAUUAUUGCAAAAUUUGAUCACAAACUAUAAGGCUACAAUUUAAAAAUAUAACAAAUUCCUAACUGUAAAAAUUUUCUAGGUUAAAUUCUUUGAUCACAAAGCAGGCAAGAAAUGAAUGGUGGAACAAACUAAAAUACUAGCUCCAUGAAUGAAAAGACCUACAUGGAUAUGAGAGUAAUUAAGAAGGAGUUAGCAGCGAUGGGACUUUGUGAUUGACUGGAUAUAGACAAUGAGGAAUAUAGUGAAGGAAAGAUGAUUUCCUGAUUUCUGGCAUGGGCAGCUGAGUAGAUGGUUAUGCUAUAAACUAAGAAAAGAGAGAAGGAUAGGAAGAGAUGGGCCUGGAAGAGUAUGGAGUUUGAGAUGAGAAGAGAAAAUGGAAACUCUGAGGAGCACAGAAAAUUAAGGCCCAAGUGAAGAAAGAUGAGCUUGCAGGGAAGACUGGGUGAUGACAAGCGGUGUAGGAGAGAAUCCGGGUACUCUGUUUUGCUGAAAUGAGAAAGACGGACAUACAGAUGCAUAUAAAGGCAUAUAGAGGCAGAUAUAUUUAUAUUUGAGGAAGUCUGGACAUUGAGUAAGUUAGUGCUGAUAACUUCUAGUUUCUUAGUUAAGAAAGAGAUGAGGUUAUCUAUACGGAGUAAGGAGGAACGUGGUGGUGCCGUUGCUACUACGGUGUAAUACGUCACUACUAUUACUAUUAAUUAUGGUGUAAUACCUAAAACGUAGUGGCUUGAAAUAACAAUAAUUAUCUUUUAUCUCUCACAGUUUCUCUGGGUCAGAAAUUUGAGGAUAAGGUGGUGAAUGAUUCUGGCUCAAGGUCUCCCAUAUUGUUGUGAUCAGUGGCUGGAGCCAGAACAGCAGAGGGCUUAGAGAAUCUAGGGAUUGGUCAGAUGUCGCUUUCGUUUUAUCUGGCUUUGAGACCUCUCCAAUGUGAGCUAAUUUAGGCUUCCUCAUAGCGUGGUAACCUCAAGGUAUGUGAACCGUGUAGCGGUUGACGCUUCCAAGAACAAGUAUUCUAGCAGGCAAGGUUCAUCUUUUAUGCUUUAGGCAUGGAAAUUACAUAGCGUCACUUUCCCUAAAAUGAGAAAGGAUAUAGCAUGUUUGGACAGUACGAACCAGUAUCACCUAAUUGACAUUAAUAGACCAUCCUAUCCAGCAAUGGCAGAAUACAUAUUUCAAGUGUAGAUGGAACAUUCACCAAGGCAGAUCAUAUUCUGGGCCAUGUACAAAAAAAACUGAGAAAUUUAAAAGGAUUAAAAUUACAGAAAGCAUGCUCUCUGACCACAGUGGAAUUAAGCUAGAAAUAGAAAACAAAAAAUUAUAUAGAAAAUCCCCAAAUAUUUGGAAAUUUUUUAUUUUUGAUUUUUUAAAAUUGUGUUUUUUAACCAAUGAAAAAUAAUUGUAUUAUCUGUGGAGUACAUAGUGUUGUUUCAAUACAUAUAAAGUAUAGUGAUCAGAUCAUGGAUAUUAGCAUAUCAGUCAUUCCAGACAUCUAUAAUUUUUGUGUAGGGAACCUUCAAUAUUAUCUUCCAGCUAUUUGAAACUACAUAAUAUAUUAUGGUUAAUUACAGUUUUUCUAUUGUGGUAUAGAAAUUAGAUAAUAUACUCUUUUAAAGUCCAUGGGACACAAUGAAAAAUAAUUAGAAAAAUUAGAACAUACUUUGAACUGAUUGAAAAUUAAAACACAACAUAUCAAAAUUUGUGAGAUGCAGCUAAAGCAGUACCUACUGAAAAAUGUAUGGGAUUAGAUACUUAAAAAGUAGAUGUUAAACCAAUGUCCUAAGCUUCUGCCUCAAGAAACUUAAAAAAAGAGCAAGCAAAGUAAAUCCAAAACAAGUAAGGGAACAAUAAAGAUAAGAUUAGAAAUCAAUAUAGUAGAAAAAAGGGAAUUAUAGAUACAACCAAAGAAACAAAAAAACUGGUGAUUUGAAAAUAGCAAUAAUAUUGAUAUAGGCCUCUGAUCAGACUCAUCAAGAACAAAAGAAAUAAUAUACACACUACCAACAUCAGGAAUGAAUUUGUAGGAACAUUCCUACAAAUCCUACAGACACUAAAAUACAAUAAGAAAAUAUUAUAAACAAUUUAUGCUUAUAAAUUUCAUUACCUAGGUGAAAAGUACAAAUUUUUUCAAUGAUUCAAACUGUCAAAGGUCACUCAAGAUGAAAUAGAUAACCUGAAUAGCCCUGUAUCUAUUAGAGUAAUUGCAUUCAUAGUUUAAGAUCUCCUUUCAAAUAAAUUCCAGACUAGAUGGCUUCUCUGGUGAAUUUUACCAGACAUUUAAGAAAGAAACAAUGUGGCCGGGCCCAGUGGCUCACAUCUGCAAUUCCAGCAUUUUGGGAGGCUGAGGCGGAUGGAUCGCC
rnacentral:lncRNA from 1 species